rnacentral:tRNA from 1 species
ACACUUGUAGUAAAAUUCAUUAUAUUCGCCUUCCAUGUGAAAGUUCUAUCUGUUAGUAAGUGUA